rnacentral:rRNA from 1 species
UUCGAUGUUCUGGGCUGCACGUGUGCUACAAUGAUAGUGACAACGAGUGCCUGCUCCGAGAGGGGUGGGAAAUCUUAAAAAUCGCUGUCUUGCUUUGGACUGAGCCUUGUAAUAAUUGCUCACGAAAGAGGAAUUCCUCGUAAGCGCGAGUCAUCAGCUCGUGUUGAAUAAGUCUCUGCCCUUUGUACACACCGCCCGUCGCUACUACCGACUGGAUGUUGCUUCGAAAAGUUAGGACCUGCGGUGUCUUGACACUGCGGGGAAUUACGUUGAGAUGUAAUUUCUGGAGGAAGUAAAAGUCGUAACAAGGUUUCCGUAGGUGAACCUGCGGAAGGAUCAU